CGUAGGUGGCAAGCGUUAUCCGGAAUUAUUGGGCGUAAAGCGCGCGCAGGCGGUUUCUUAAGUCUGAUGUGAAAGCCCACGGCUCAACCGUGGAGGGUCAUUGGAAACUGGGGAACUUGAGUGCAGAAGAGAAAAGCGGAAUUCCACGUGUAGCGGUGAAAUGCGUAGAGAUGUGGAGGAACACCAGUGGCGAAGGCGGCUUUUUGGUCUGUAACUGACGCUGAGGCGCGAAAGCGUGGGGAGCAAACAGG
rnacentral:rRNA from 1 species